rnacentral:tRNA from 1 species
ACCUGGCUGGCUCAGCCAGUACAGCGUGAGACUCUUGAUCUCAGGGUGGCGAGUUCGAACCCCGCACUGGGGA